CUCUGACUUCCUGAAAAUCCAUUGAGUUGAUUGACACAGCUUGGACCCACAAGUUGAGUGGGAACACAGCAAAAGCCACCACGCUGAACACAAGACUUCUAUCCAUGUGUACUUCUCAAAGAAUCAGCUCAUUAAAAGGGACCUGUAACACUGAUACUAAACCUGAGUUGGGCCCAUUGUUCAUAAAGUUUAUAACCACCGAGGACAAACAGAGAUCCAUUCAUGCUGAGGCUUCCUCUGGUGCUGCAUAGAGGGAAGGACUGACAGG